ACUUAGUGAUGUGGGCAUUUACGCAAGAGGUCCCAAAAGCAUUCCCAUGUCUCGAAAAAUUAUUCACCAACUAUUUGGGAGAAACUAGUAAUUGCCUUCCUAAGCU